rnacentral:rRNA from 1 species
AGUAACACGUAAACAACCUGCCUUCAGGAUGGGGACAACAGACGGAAACGACUGCUAAUACCGAAUAAGUUCCAAGAGCCGCAUGGCCCAUGGAAGAAAAGGUGGCCUCUACCUGUAAGCUAUCGCCUGAAGAGGGGUUUGCGUCUGAUUAGCUGGUUGGAGGGGUAACGGCCCACCAAGGCGACGAUCAGUAGCCGACCUGAGAGGGUGACCGGCCACAUUGGGACUGAGACACGGCCCAA